rnacentral:rRNA from 1 species
GACGAACGCUGGCGGCGUGCUUAACACAUGCAAGUCGAACGGUGACGGGGAGCUUGCUCCCCUGAUCGGUGGCGAACGGGUGAGUAACACGUGGGCAACCUGCCCCAGACUUCGGGAUAACGCUUCGAAAGAGGUGCUAAUACCGGAUACGAGCCUCCCAGGCAUCUGGGAGGCUGGAAAGUUCUUCGGUCUGGGAUGGGCCCGCGGCCUAUCAGCUUGUUGGUGAGGUAACGGCUCACCAAGGCGACGACGGGUAGCCGGCCUGAGAGGGCGACCGGCCACACUGGGACUGAGACACGGCCCAGACUCCUACGGGAGGCAGCAGUGGGGAAUAUUGCGCAAUGGGCGAAAGCCUGACGCAGCAACGCCGCGUGAGGGAUGACGGCCUUCGGUUGGUUAAACCGUACUUUCUAGCAGGGAA